UCUAGAAUUCAGCAUGUGUACUGCCGUUGUAAGCAUACCUCUAAAAGAAUAAGUAUGCCAUUAUGAUUAACAACUCAUAUACAUCAGGUCAAAGUGCAGCCAAUGAAAAGGUGAUGAUGGGUUACAACCCCAAAAUAGAGUAUCAAUAAAGAAAUAAAAAAUCUUAAGAAAGUGGACUUGGCUGUAAUCAAUUUACAAGUUAAAAAAAUGAAUAAAACCUAAGACAUGCACACAUCGCCCGUCACUCUAUCCUAAAGGAUAGAUAAGUCGUAACAAAGUAGGUGUAAUGGAAAUUGCACCUGUCGAAGUAUAGCAUAUAAAAUGCUCUCUACUUACACUAGAACUAAAGUUAAUAACUUACUUCGCCCAUAAAGCCCGAUCCUAUAAAUUAAAAAUAAUAGAAACACCAAACAUAUAACAAUAGAUAAAGUACAUAAAUGGAAAUAAAAAUUAAUAAUAGUAAAUUUUAAUAAAUGUACCUUGUGCAUUAUGGUUUUACAAGAAAUAAAUUAAAUAUAUAUAUCCCGAAUUCUAAAUGAGAUGUUAAACUGCCGCUAAGAACCCAUUAAUAUCUGUAGAAAAAGAUUUAAAAGACAGUUUAACAGAGGCUACAUACCAUACGCAUAAGAAUAUAGCUGGUUUUCAACAAACAUUAUAUAUUAAAACAUAUAAUUAUAUUAUAGUGUAAUAUUAUUGAGGACAAGCCCAAUAAUUUAAGCAAUAAUUUAUAUAUUUCACUAUAUCUUCAUAGGCCUAAAAUCAGCCAACUAAAAUACUUUAUCGUAUCAAAUAUAGAUAAAAUUUAUAACAUUUAUAAUGCUAAAUAAAGUUGAAAUAAUAGAUAAACCAAUUUAAUCCAUUUAUAUUAUGUAAAAAUAAGUAUUAUAAAAUUAUACCUACACCAACCUAGUAAAUACAAUAAAUAAAACAAAAUAAUUAAUUAAGGAACUCGGCAAACCACUAUUUCGACUGUUUAACAAAAACAUUGUCCCAUGAAUAAAAUAUGGGAUAAUACCU
rnacentral:rRNA from 1 species